rnacentral:rRNA from 1 species
GACGAACGCUGGCGGCGUGCUUAACACAUGCAAGUCGAACGGUAAGGCCCUUCGGGGUACUCGAGUGGCGAACGGGUGAGUAACACGUGGGUGAUCUGCCCUGCACUUCGGGAUAAGCCUGGGAAACUGGGUCUAAUACCGGAUAGGACCACUGCCUGCAUGGGUGGUGGUGGAAAGCCUUUGCGGUGUGGGAUGGGCCCGCGGCCUAUCAGCUUGUUGGUGGGGUGAUGGCCUACCAAGGCGACGACGGGUAGCCGGCCUGAGAGGGUGACCGGCCACACUGGGACUGAGAUACGGCCCAGACUCCUACGGGCGGCAGCAGUGGGGAAUAUUGCACAAUGGGCGCAAGCCUGAUGCAGCGACGCCGCGUGAGGGAUGACGGCCUUCGGGUUGUAAACCUCUUUCAGCACCGACGAAGCGCAAGUGACGGUAGGUGCAGAAGAAGGACCGGCCAACUACGUGCCAGCAGCCGCGGUAA